rnacentral:rRNA from 1 species
UACGUAGGUGACCAGCGUUGUCCGGAUUUACUGGGCGUAAAGAGCGCGCAGGCGGUCGUUCAAGUCGAGUGUGAAAGCCCCGGGCUCAGCCCGGGAAGUGCGCUCGAAACUGCGCGGCUCGAGUGCCGGAGGGGAGAGUGGAAUUCCAGGUGUAGCGGUGAAAUGCGUAGAUAUCUGGAGGAACACCGGUGGCGAAGGCGGCAUCCUGGACCGACACUGACGCUGAGGAGCGAAAGCCAGGGGAGCAAACGGG